GGGGCACUAUGCAAAUGUCCUGCCUUUGAGUCGAGCUGUUUGGUUAUAUUUUUCUAUAGUAUCUUUAAAGGUCAGUGUUUGCUUUGUAGCAGACUCUACAGCCUUGGAACAUGCAAUAAGAAAUCAUUUUCUCCUCUAGAGCUUUUGUAGUUCUGAAAAUGACUUCCCAUCAGUUAAAAAAAAAAAAAAAAACUUUGCCUCUCUUCAGUGCAUCUCCGCAAGAGCAGCUGAGGUAAUGAGUGCUCCUUGCUUGCAGCUAUCUUUCCAAAGGCAGCCACCAAAAUAAGGGAAAGCAUUCAUCAGUGAAACUACAAGAGCCUAGCAUGGUUGCCAUCUGAAAGGCUCUACCAGCAGCUGACUGAGACAGAUACAGAUACUACAGCCAACCACUGGACUGAAGUCGGGAACACCUAUGGAAGAGUCAGGAGAAGGAUUGAAGGAGCUGGCAGGGAUGGCAACCCCAUGGGAAGACGAACAGUAUCAACUAACCUGGACCCCUCAGAACCCCCAGAGCCUGAGUCACCAACCAGACAGCAUAUGUGGACUGGUUGGUGCCACCCCACACAUAUGUAACAGAAGACUGCCUUGUCUGGCUUUAGUGGGAGAUGAUGCACUUAAUCCUGUAAAGACUUGAUUCUCCAGGGAAGAAGGAUGCUGAGGGGGCAGGCAGCACUCUCAGAGGGAGGGGGAGGAGGUAAGGAACUCUGGGAGGGGGAUGGUAGGGGCAACAUUUGGAAUGUAAAUAAAUAAAAUAAUUAGAAUUUUUUUAAAAAAA
rnacentral:lncRNA from 1 species